UUGUGAGGUUAAGCGACUAAGCGUACACGGUGGAUGCCCUGGCAGUCAGAGGCGAUGAAGGACGUGCUAAUCUGCGAUAAGCGUCGGUGAGGUGAUAUGAACCGUUAUAACCGGCGAUUUCCGAAUGGGGAAACCCAGUGUGUUUCGACACACUAUCAUUAACUGAAUCCAUAGGUUAAUGAGGCGAACCGGGGGAACUGAAACAUCUAAGUACCCCGAGGAAAAGAAAUCAACCGAGAUUCCCCCAGUAGCGGCGAGCGAACGGGGAGGAGCCCAGAGCCUGAAUCAGUGUGUGUGUUAGUGGAAGCGUCUGGAAAGGCGCGCGAUACAGGGUGACAGCCCCGUACACAAAAAUGCACAUAUUGUGAGCUCGAUGAGUAGGGCGGGACACGUGGUAUCCUGUCUGAAUAUGGGGGGACCAUCCUCCAAGGCUAAAUACUCCUGACUGACCGAUAGUGAACCAGUACCGUGAGGGAAAGGCGAAAAGAACCCCGGCGAGGGGAGUGAAAAAGAACCUGAAACCGUGUACGUACAAGCAGUGGGAGCCUCUUAAUGGGGUGACUGCGUACCUUUUGUAUAAUGGGUCAGCGACUUAUAUUCUGUAGCAAGGUUAACCGAAUAGGGGAGCCGAAGGGAAACCGAGUCUUAACUGGGCGUUAAGUUGCAGGGUAUAGACCCGAAACCCGGUGAUCUAGCCAUGGGCAGGUUGAAGGUUGGGUAACACUAACUGGAGGACCGAACCGACUAAUGUUGAAAAAUUAGCGGAUGACUUGUGGCUGGGGGUGAAAGGCCAAUCAAACCGGGAGAUAGCUGGUUCUCCCCGAAAGCUAUUUAGGUAGCGCCUCGUGAAUUCAUCUCCGGGGGUAGAGCACUGUUUCGGCAAGGGGGUCAUCCCGACUUACCAACCCGAUGCAAACUGCGAAUACCGGAGAAUGUUAUCACGGGAGACACACGGCGGGUGCUAACGUCCGUCGUGAAGAGGGAAACAACCCAGACCGCCAGCUAAGGUCCCAAAGUCAUGGUUAAGUGGGAAACGAUGUGGGAAGGCCCAGACAGCCAGGAUGUUGGCUUAGAAGCAGCCAUCAUUUAAAGAAAGCGUAAUAGCUCACUGGUCGAGUCGGCCUGCGCGGAAGAUGUAACGGGGCUAAACCAUGCACCGAAGCUGCGGCAGCGACGCUUAUGCGUUGUUGGGUAGGGGAGCGUUCUGUAAGCCUGUGAAGGUGGCCUGUGAGGGUUGCUGGAGGUAUCAGAAGUGCGAAUGCUGACAUAAGUAACGAUAAAGCGGGUGAAAAGCCCGCUCGCCGGAAGACCAAGGGUUCCUGUCCAACGUUAAUCGGGGCAGGGUGAGUCGACCCCUAAGGCGAGGCCGAAAGGCGUAGUCGAUGGGAAACAGGUUAAUAUUCCUGUACUUGGUGUUACUGCGAAGGGGGGACGGAGAAGGCUAUGUUGGCCGGGCGACGGUUGUCCCGGUUUAAGCGUGUAGGCUGGUUUUCCAGGCAAAUCCGGAAAAUCAAGGCUGAGGCGUGAUGACGAGGCACUACGGUGCUGAAGCAACAAAUGCCCUGCUUCCAGGAAAAGCCUCUAAGCAUCAGGUAACAUCAAAUCGUACCCCAAACCGACACAGGUGGUCAGGUAGAGAAUACCAAGGCGCUUGAGAGAACUCGGGUGAAGGAACUAGGCAAAAUGGUGCCGUAACUUCGGGAGAAGGCACGCUGAUAUGUAGGUGAAGCGACUUGCUCGUGGAGCUGAAAUCAGUCGAAGAUACCAGCUGGCUGCAACUGUUUAUUAAAAACACAGCACUGUGCAAACACGAAAGUGGACGUAUACGGUGUGACGCCUGCCCGGUGCCGGAAGGUUAAUUGAUGGGGUUAGCGGUAACGCGAAGCUCUUGAUCGAAGCCCCGGUAAACGGCGGCCGUAACUAUAACGGUCCUAAGGUAGCGAAAUUCCUUGUCGGGUAAGUUCCGACCUGCACGAAUGGCGUAAUGAUGGCCAGGCUGUCUCCACCCGAGACUCAGUGAAAUUGAACUCGCUGUGAAGAUGCAGUGUACCCGCGGCAAGACGGAAAGACCCCGUGAACCUUUACUAUAGCUUGACACUGAACAUUGAGCCUUGAUGUGUAGGAUAGGUGGGAGGCUUUGAAGUGUGGACGCCAGUCUGCAUGGAGCCGACCUUGAAAUACCACCCUUUAAUGUUUGAUGUUCUAACGUUGGCCCGUAAUCCGGGUUGCGGACAGUGUCUGGUGGGUAGUUUGACUGGGGCGGUCUCCUCCUAAAGAGUAACGGAGGAGCACGAAGGUUGGCUAAUCCUGGUCGGACAUCAGGAGGUUAGUGCAAUGGCAUAAGCCAGCUUGACUGCGAGCGUGACGGCGCGAGCAGGUGCGAAAGCAGGUCAUAGUGAUCCGGUGGUUCUGAAUGGAAGGGCCAUCGCUCAACGGAUAAAAGGUACUCCGGGGAUAACAGGCUGAUACCGCCCAAGAGUUCAUAUCGACGGCGGUGUUUGGCACCUCGAUGUCGGCUCAUCACAUCCUGGGGCUGAAGUAGGUCCCAAGGGUAUGGCUGUUCGCCAUUUAAAGUGGUACGCGAGCUGGGUUUAGAACGUCGUGAGACAGUUCGGUCCCUAUCUGCCGUGGGCGCUGGAGAACUGAGGGGGGCUGCUCCUAGUACGAGAGGACCGGAGUGGACGCAUCACUGGUGUUCGGGUUGUCAUGCCAAUGGCACUGCCCGGUAGCUAAAUGCGGAAGAGAUAAGUGCUGAAAGCAUCUAAGCACGAAACUUGCCCCGA
rnacentral:rRNA from 1 species